rnacentral:lncRNA from 1 species
GCUGAAUCUAAUACUAAUUAAUACAAAUAGUGUGAAUAAAACAAAGACAUUUUCAAAUAAACAGCAACAUGGAGUUUACUUCUAAAAGACCAUCACAGAAGGAACUACUAAAGGAUGCACUUCAGGAAAAAGGAAAUUGAACUGAGAAGGAAGGCAUGAGAUACAAAACAGACUUUUGAGCAAAUAAAUUGGUGUAUAUGCAGAUGGAUGUGGGAAGUCAAUUCAAAAUGUGGGAACUUUAGCAAGUCACUUAACCAUGAAGCUUGAAGAGCUUUGAAUCAGGCCAAGAUCUUCACUUUGAGAACCUGGUGAAUUUCCACACAAGGAUGAGGAGCCCGCCUGUGACUGCAGCCACCCGGAGUUUCUCACCCUCAAGGUAUUCUGCACUUAGCUUUCAGAAAUUUGCCAAAAUAAUCAUUUAAGUGUGCCUACCAGAUUAUGGAUUUCAGUGACUUUUGUUCCAGGUAAGCAAAUUUCAAGGGUUAUGUCACUCUGGAUGUGACUCUCUCUCUAGAUUUUG